rnacentral:misc_RNA from 1 species
UACAGAGGUCUCAAGCGUUGUUCGGAAUUACUGGGCGUAAAGCGUGCGUAGGCGGCGGGGUAAGUCAGAUGUGAAAGCCCGGGGCUCAACCCCGGAACUGCAUCCGAUACUGCCCCGCUAGAGUAAUGGAGGGGCAUCUGGAAUUCACGGUGUAGCAGUGAAAUGCGUAGAUAUCGUGAGGAACACUAGUGGCGAAGGCGAGAUGCUGGACAUUUACUGACGCUGAGGCACGAAGGCUAGGGUAGCGAAAGGG